AGCAGCAGCAACAGAAGAAGAAGAAUGAGGACUAAUAAAAUGUGUUAAAAAGAAGUAGUCUGAUCGCUGGAAGUAAAUGAAUCGUCGAAUUGAAAGGAAGCUGCUUUUUUAAAACAAUAUUUCCAAGACCCAGUAAUAAAGACGGUUCAGGUGAAUGUAAGAAGAUGGUAUUGAAAGAGAUUCCAACAGACAAUAUCACUCGCCCUUUGGGCCGUAACGAGGUCAUAGGUUUACUUUUUCGCCUCACAAUAUUUGGUGCCGUCACAUAUUUUACCAUAAAGUGGAUGGUGGAUGCUAUAGAUCCAACAAGAAAACAGAAAGUUGAGGCACAAAAACAGGCAGAGAAACUCAUGCGGCAGAUUGGAGUGCAGAAUGUGAAGCUUUCUGAAUAUGAGAUGAGC